GAGCAGCUCUGCGCACGCGUGGUCCGGCUCUGGGCCUCGUGCCCGGCCCAGGGCGUCUCGGCCUGGCCCCGUCGGACUCUUCACGUCGUGCACUUGUAGGACGUCGGGAGCACUGCCACUGAGGCCGCUGAGGGCCUGCUGGGCGAUGUCGUGCGAGGACAGGUCCUGCUGAGAUGUGAAUGACAUCUUCACUGGCAAUUAUUCUGAUACCUACAGUGAAACUCCUCUCCAAGUAUGAUGGCUGCUGAUACCUAGACAGAACAUUGUUUGAAGCCACAGGAAACAGUUUAACCUUCAUCUCCACCAUUUGACCCUUUCCAG